UUUCAUUAUGAUGGCACCCAUUGCAGAGUGAAUGGAAACAUCACACAUCUGAUGAAGAAACAGCCUCAUAUACAUCUUGGAUGGCCUGAGGAUGAGUACAUUUUGAGCUAAUUUAAAUUUUUGGAUGAACCAUACCUUAAAUGCCCCAUUCACCCCAAGAACGAUAACUAUAUUAGCAUUCACACCAAUGGACUAUAUUCUGUUUAUUGGGUUAGAGUUGCCCUAACCCUGACCUUAACCCUAACCCUAACCCUAACAAUAACCCUAAACACAUGCUAUCACUUUAAAUGCUCGAGCUUAUUAAAAUUGGGUGGAUUCUGAUUAGCGUUCAAUGCUUUUAUCGUUCAUCAGAUGGAAAAACAAUCUCAGAAAAUUGAUUCUAAAGAUAUCAUUUUUCUCUAUGAAAUUGUAGUUGUGGUGUGGACUUCACUAUUCUCAUUGAAUUAGAACAAAUAAUAAACAUGUAUAGUUAUAGUUAAUACAGUUACUAAUUACAGAUUUCAAAAUGGUUUGGGAACAUGCAUCCAACAGCAACCAAACAGCCCCUCACUCUUUCCUCAAGCGGUUCAAUCCGGUGUUUUAACGCUGCUGGGAAGUUACCGCUGGAUGCCCGCUUUGAGCUUAAUGAGGUGUACGGAACCCCUCCUGCAGGAUUCCACCUCAUCACCAACACCACGGUUCCCAUUUAGGACCCUCGGUCUCGGAUCGGAAGGCUUUCAAGAACGGCGCUCACAGCUGAGUGAAAGAAUCAAAAGUGGUGAGGCUUGUAAGAGCGUUCACCUGGCUUGACGCCGAACACUUUCAACGGCCAGCCACACACACAUUCCCAGGCUAUUGCUCCGGCAAAGAAAACGGCUUCAUCAGAAUUCUCCACAUCUCUUGGCCCAGAGCGCCUUUCGGCCGAGCUGGGAUUGGACAAGGUUCAUUACCCCUCUUUGAUGUAUUUCUUCUUUCAAUUUUACAGCCUCGCACCUUUUCCCUCGUCAGGAUCAACUCUGAGCACAGAUAAAGACCAACCCUUCACACGUCUGUUGUGGAUAGGGAGACAAAAAGGCUUCGGGCCUAGGUUUUCUUUUAAGGCCGACUGUGAAUAACAUGUGAAGAUGAGAGGGCAUCAUGUGAAUGCGAUUCUUUCAAUUCAUCGGGCAAAUUCGUAUCCUUAAUGACGGCUAACAAGCUGCUGCUUUGAGAAGGUUAAAUGUGCAGCCGGAUCUCUGAAAACAAUCUGUUUGAAGUGUUCUUGAUAAAAUGGACUAAAGCAAGUGCCAAAUGACCUCAAACAAGCUGGAGCCGGAGAGUCAUCACGCACGAUAAUGCGCACCAUCGGCACUCCUCGUCUUAACGCAUGAUUGCGCCGAAUGUUCGCGUAAAAGAUUGCGCGCGUCUGCCUCAUGAUGUGGAAGUCUGUCAGACACGCACAAGUUCACAAACAAACACGGAUCGACUGCACUUGUCAAUCAAGAGGGCUAAUUCGGUUUUCAUUUGCAACCUCAUUUAGCUCUUGUAGAAGAUCUUUUUAAUUGAGUAAGACUUUAAUUUAUAUACAUACAAUAUAUUAUAAUAACAGUAAUAAUAAAUGAACAUUUACUUUAUUCUAAAUAGACAGAACAAAGAAUGGCUGACAAACAUGAUCGAUCGAUGGAUUGACAUCAAAAAAUGUGAAAUACAUGUUUUAGAAGACAAAGUAUUUUCUGUAACUGUAAAAGAGAGAUCAGAUUGGAGAGUUUUUCCUUUUUUUUUUUUUUUUUUUUUUUUGCUUUAUAUUUAAUCUCACUACUGUCUUUGGAAAUAAUCGACAUAUUAACUACAUCUCAUUUUUUCUUUUUCUGUCCUACAGGAACAGAGACCUGUUUUGCAGUCCCACUGUAAGUCAGGCUCCAGAGCGGAUGUUAAUUUGACUGAAUCAUCAGCUUUGAGUCGAGAGGGGUCCUGAACGAUCCAGACCUGGACGGUUUGAGAACAGACAGACCCGGAUCUUCUGAAAUUACGGCGUCUCCCAACACGAGCAGGCCUGCCAACUCCCCUCAAAGCCCAAGAGGAUGAUUAAUGGGCAGGUAAAGACUUUUCCGAGCCACGUCUAGAUACCUCAGCUAGGCCUCAGUGCUCAGAUAAAAGUCAAAGCGGAUCACGGGGGCCAAACGCGCUCUCUCAAAAGUACCAGGACAAAAAGCCUCGUCAAAAAGCAUUCUCUGCAAUCCUCGACACGUUCAGACAGGUAACGGAAGCCGUCGAAAACAGCCAGAGGACUCUGUCUUUUCUCUUCUUGCUACAUCAAUUUGGUCCUGAAGACAGUGACUUUACCUCGUGUGGCUCUGAAUAGUGAAGCGACAUCAAAGACACACUGAGCAAAUAAAAGCUGUAUGCAAACGAGUGACGAGAGUCGGGUUAAUUGGGGAACGGAGAGCUCCGGCAAUCGGUUUCAUUGCUUUUUGCUCUCUGCACGGGAAAGAUGAAAGACAGAGCCUGAGCUCAAUGCGGCUUGUGUGUUGUGUUGUGUAGCUCUUCUGUAUCCGCAGGACAGACAGAAGAGAACGGUUUGUUCAGAAGUUGACUGGAUGUGGAGUUCACACGGAGGUCUUGAUCUCGAUGACUCUCUUUCUAGGUAAUACACAUCCGCUUGAAGGUGACGUCACUCCUGCUUCUGGCUUCUGAACAAACUGACCAGAAAACAUGGGAAACUAUUCAUAGAUGUUCACGUGAUGUGCUGGGAUGAGACGCAAACUGGAAUUUGACAUAACACAGAAAAUCCCCAUCAAUAGGAUUCUCCAGGGGAGCAGCUGUGGACUUUCACAGGCAUGACCCAGAUCCUCAGAUGGUCAGCUGGGUCUGGUUCCACACACUUUGUCUGGGACGUUACGUUCAUUUUGUGCUCUACCAUUUCCUCUGAAAUUGUGUCAUCGGCCAAUAAGAAUGCAUGAAUGCUUUCUGUCCGUUCACAAAGAAGUGAUUUGAGCCCAACCGAAAUAGAAACUCUUUCCAUGACAGAUCUGACAGAUCCUACAUGGGCAGCAGGCAAUGUCUGGCAUUAGCAUGUUGUUAAGCUAGCAACUAGAUUCUAUUUGAACAGCAUUUAACUAUUUUCUACUUAUCCAAGAUGGCGGAUUGUGUCAAAGUAUAAGUUUGCAGCACAACAUUAUGGGUGGGCCUUUCCUCAUGCAGGAUAUACAGUAUGUUGCUCUAUAUUUUGGACUUAAUGAGAUAUCCAACCAGGCCCAAAUAAAAUCUGUGGAGUUUUCUGCCAUAUAAAUGGCAAAUAUUCCAUUAUAUUGCAGUAGAUGUAUUGCCAGUGCCAGAUUUCUUUUGGAAAGCUCCUGAAAGUGUGAAAUUGACUUUUUCCCUGUCUGCUGCUUUUGAUGUCAAAGAAUCAGUGACUUACUGGCCUCAAGCACUUUAAUCAACUAAGGCUCAU